GUGACAUGGAGAGAAGCGAGAAUUUCAUCCUGCAACCCAGUUUUGGAGGGAAAAACCCAAAAGCUACUAUUCAACAAGGUUGAUUGGCUGAGUGAGAGAGAGAAAAUUCAAGAAAAUCUUUGCUGAAUCUAUCGGAAAUCUCUUGGAAACCCCAUUCGCCAUUGAAGAGAGGGAAAUCCGUGAGAGAGGGAGAGAUUGAUCAUGUUUGCUGCAGAGAAUGGACUUAGAGGAGACCCAAGGCUUCAAGCCAUCUCCGAAGCCAUUCGAGUCGUUCCUCACUUCCCAAAGCCAGGAAUAAUGUUUCAAGAUAUAACAACGUUGUUGCUGGAUCCCAAGGCGUUCAAGGACACGGUGGAUAUUUUCGUUGAUCGCUACAGAGACAUGGGCAUCUCUGUUGUUGCUGGGGUCGAAGCGAGGGGAUUCAUGUUUGGUCCCUCCAUUGCGUUGGCUAUUGGUGCAAAGUUUGUUCCUUUACGUAAGCCCCGAAAGUUACCAGGUGAAGUGAUUUCUGAAGCUUAUGUCCUGGAGUAUGGAACUGAUUGUCUGGAAAUGCAUGUUGGAGCUGUUCAACUUGGUGAACGUUCAUUGAUCAUUGAUGAUUUGGUAGCUACAGGCGGGACUUUAUCAGCAGCAAUAAGACUUUUAGUUUAUGAAAUGCAAAUAUGCUGUUUAUCUAGAACGUGUGGGGGCUGAAGUGGUUGAAUGUGCAUGCGUUGUUGGGUUGCCUGAGGUGAAGGGACAACGCAGGCUUAAUGGGACCCCACUCUAUAUACUUGUGGAGCCACGCGAAAUAGAAAAUUGUUAUUAAGAUCUGUGGGCUUGAUUCUGCUUGGGCUGACUUAUAGGAAAGAUGAUGCUUGAGCAAACAGGCCAUGAUGAGUUUCUACCGAGUUUUGGCGGAAUUCCAUCAUUUCUUGGAUCGAUUUGUAUAAUUUAUCUAUGCAUGAGAUGUGCAUCUUCUGUAGGCUGUUAUGUGCGAUUUAUAGUUUUGGAACAAGCCUCCUGGUUGAAGAAUUGUUGCCCCGUGAUGUUUGAUUUGUUCUUUUUAAGUCAUUUUUAGUGCCCA